rnacentral:rRNA from 1 species
AUUAGUAAUAGUUAAUUUGUUUUUAUUAAUAAAAUUACUUUAAAUUUUUUAAGUGAAAUUUUAAAUUUAAUUAAUUUUAUAUAAAAGAGUUGAUGAAGCUAAAAAAUUUUAAUAAUAAACUAGGAUUAGAUACCCUAUUAUUUAAAAAGUAAAGUUAAAUACUUGAGUAGUAAUAGAUAUGAUCUUCAAACUUAAAGAAUUUGGCGGUGUUUUAGUCUAUUUAGAGGAACCUGUCCUGUAAUCGAUAAUCCACGUUGGACCUUACUAAAAUUUGUUGUCAAUUUGUAUAUCGCCGUUAUCAGAAUAUCUUAAAAGAGGAAUAAUUUUCUUAAUUUAUUAUUAUAGUUGAUGUCAGGUCAAGGUGCAGUUUAUAUUUUAGUAGAGAUGGGUUACAAUAAAUUUAUUUAAACGUUAAAUUAUUUGAAAUAAUGAUUUUAAGGUGGAUUUAAAAGUAAAAUAAUGAAUAUAAUUUAUUUGAUUAUAGCUCUAAAACAUGCACACAUCG